AGAAAGACGGUUAGAAUCCGGUCCAAUUCCCUCACCACCACGGGCGAGCAGGCGGAAGACACGAUCGGUAUAUGUAUAACAAGCCGUAGGUUCCUACGUGAAGGGACGUGAUCUCCCUCCUCUGGGGCAAAUUUUUGGGGCUUCGCUUCGACCGAUCAUCUUGUGUUUCUGGUUCCCGCUGAUCCCCAUCUCAAGGGAGAAUAGCAACAAACAAAACAAAACAGUGACUGGAGCUUUUUCCUCGGCAUUCACCUUCAAUGAGACAUCAUCUGGUCACACUCCGCCCUGCAUUAAAUAGCCCGGA